GGUGCUCAGUAGGAGACGAACCGCACC
rnacentral:rRNA from 1 species